rnacentral:rRNA from 1 species
GACGAACCGUGCGACCGUUGUUCGGAAUCACUGGGCUUAAAGGGCGCGUAGGCGGCUUGCCAAGUCAGUGGUGAAAUCCCACAGCUUAACUGUGGAAGUGCCUUUGAUACUGGCGAGCUCGAGGGAGGUAGGGGUAUGUGGAACUUCUGGUGGAGCGGUGAAAUGCGUUGAUAUCGAGAGGAACACCUGCGGCGAAGGCGGGUUGCUGGGCUGACACUGACGCUGAUGCGCGAAAGCUAGGGGAGCGAACGGG